rnacentral:rRNA from 1 species
GACGAACGCUGGCGGCGGGCUUAACACAUGCAAGUCGAACGGAAAGGCCCUGCUGUUGUGGGGUGCUCGAGUGGCGAACGGGUGAGUAACACGUGAGUAACCUGCCCUUGACUUUGGGAUAACUUCAGGAAACUGGGGCUAAUACCGGAUAGGAGCUCCUGCUGCAUGGUGGGGGUUGGAAAGUUUCGGCGGUUGGGGAUGGACUCGCGGCUUAUCAGCUUGUUGGUGGGGUAGUGGCUUACCAAGGCUUUGACGGGUAGCCGGCCUGAGAGGGUGACCGGCCACAUUGGGACUGAGAUACGGCCCAGACUCCUACGGGAGGCAGAAGUGGGGAAUAUUGCAAAAUGGGAGGAAGCCUGAUGCAGCAACGCCGCGUGCGGGAUGACGGCCUUCGGGUUGUAAACCGCUUGCGCCUGUGACGAAGCGUGAGUGACGGUAAUGGGUAAAGAAGCACCGGCUAACUACGUG